rnacentral:rRNA from 1 species
CCCUUAGAUGUCCUGGGCUGCACGCGCGCUACACUGAUGUGUCCAGUAAGCACCUAACCUCUUCCGAAAGGAACGGGUAACCUUUGCAAAGCACAUCGUGAUGGGGAUAGAUUAUUGCAAUUAUUAGUCUUGAACGAGGAAUUCCUAGUAAGCACAAGUCAUCAGCUUGUGUUGAUUACGUCCCUGCCCUUUGUACACACCGCCCGUCGCUCCUACCGAUUGAAUGUUCCGGUGAGCUCUUCGGACUGCGCGGUCUGCAGUGUCUGCGUUCCGUGCGGAAAGUUGCGCAAACCUUAACAUUUAGAGGAAGGAGAAGUCGUAACA